UACAUGGGGUGCAACCGUUGCUCGGAAUUAUUGGGCGUAAAGCGCGCGUAGGCGGUUACUUAAGUCGGAUGUGAAAGCCCUCGGCUUAACUGAGGAAGUGCACCCGAAACUGAGUAGCUAGAGUACGAAAGAGGGUCGCGGAAUUCCCGGUGUAGAGGUGAAAUUCGUAGAUAUCGGGAGGAACACCGGUGGCGAAGGCGGGUCUCUGGGCCGUAACUGACGCUGAGGAGCGAAAGCGUGGGGAGCGAACAGG
rnacentral:rRNA from 1 species